AAGAGGAAAGGUCCUGGAAAGCAGCAGAAAUGGCASGGCAGCGUACAGUCUUUGGUCRAGGUCUGGAGAAGAACACAAAACUSUUUCCCCAAAGAUGUUAACGGCARAUAAACUUUGUGUCUUCCUGCAGAAGCAGUGCUCCAGAAACAUCACGGCUCUCACUUUUUGUAAGAAUAGAUGUGAAUGAGGACGUUCCUGUGGCUGAGCACGCUGACGGCAAACGGGAACGAAACAGCAUUCGGCGAUCUCUGCUGCACCGGCGACACCAGAGACAAAACAGCAAAACUGGGAUUGUCUCCUGGACUCGGUCCGUGGCUGCGACUCGGAGGAGCUGCACAGUCAAGGCAGCACGAGUCUUUCUCUGUGUGUAUAUGAUUUUUUUUUUUAAUAGCCAAGCAGUUAUCAUCAUAAUUAUAUUUGUAAUUCCAAGGGUGCAUUACCAUACUAAUGGAUGAUGACCACUCAACAGUCACAAGAAACAUUAAUUAAAACAGAAGUUCUCCCGUCCUAGCAGGGAGAGUGUUCCCUAAUCCCCAUUAUGGAAAUUGGUUAAGCCAAGAGAAUAUUUCCUUUAUAGUUUCAGCUCUUCAGAAAGCCUUUGAUGUCCUAAGCCAAAGCAACUACCCAUCAGGAACUGAGAGAUGUACUUCGGUCCCCCAUGCCAGCUUUUUACUUACUUCUGUCAUUUAAUUUCCCCCAUAAUACGGGGUAAAGUCUUAGCCARCAUCUUCAUUUUCAUUCAUUAGUGAAAUCAUCAUCAUAGUAAUACUUUGCACUUAUCUCUAUCCUAGGCACUUUGAAGGUGUCUGUCACUGUGUUAUGUAUACAUAAAGAACCCUCCAUCCAAAAAUGACCGAUCAGUAAAGUUUCCGAAUAUUGAAAAGGUCAAAGCACUACAGGACUCUGUUAUUAUCACUUAGAAAUAUAUGAGGCAUAAAAAUCAUAAUAGUGGGAAAGGUGUAAAAUGUGGCUGGCUCCCUCGAUAACGCCGGGGCUGUCGGUGUGAGCUCGGCUUUCCAUCCCUGCCCCAGGCUUCGCAGGCUCUCCUCGCUUUCUUUUGUUUUUCUUUCUUUUUUUUUUUUUUUUAGCUUAAGUAAGAGGUCAUUCUGUGUCGUACCAGAAGGUGCUUUGUUCAUCCAUUAUGGGGCCGUCCUUCACAGCUUUAAUCUGCAUAGGUAAGCUACAGGCCAAAAUAGUUUGAAAGCCAACAAAAAAUGUGCACAAAAAAAU
rnacentral:lncRNA from 1 species